AGGACGAACGCUGGCGGCGUGCUUAACACAUGCAAGUCGAGCGGAAAGGCCCUUCGGGGUACUCGAGCGGCGAACGGGUGAGUAACACGUGAGUAACCUGCCCCUAGCUCUGGGAUAGCUCCGGGAAACCGGGAUUAAAUACCAGAUACGACCACUUUAGACAUCUGUCGUGGUGGAAAGGAUUCCGGCUAGGGAUGGGCUCGCGGCCUAUCAGCUUGUUGGUGGGUAACGCCUACCAAGGCGACGACGGGU
rnacentral:rRNA from 1 species